CCUAGGGAGGCUGCAGUGGGGAAUAUUGGACAAUGGGCGAAAGCCUGAUCCAGCCAUGCCGCGUGUGUGAAGAAGGCCUUCGGGUUGUAAAGCACUUUCAGUGGGGAAGAAAGCCUUGGGGCUAAUACCCUCGAGGAAGGACAUCACCCACAGAAGAAGCACCGGCUAACUCCGUGCCAGCAGCCGCGGUAAUACGGAGGGUGCGAGCGUUAAUCGGAAUUACUGGGCGUAAAGCGCGCGUAGGCGGUCUGAUAAGCCGGUUGUGAAAGCCCCGGGCUCAACCUGGGAACGGCAUCCGGAACUGUCAGGCUAGAGUGCAGGAGAGGAAGGUAGAAUUCCCGGUGUAGCGGUGAAAUGCGUAGAGAUCGGGAGGAAUACCAGUGGCGAAGGCGGCCUUCUGGACUGACACUGACGCUGAGGUGCGAAAGCGUGGGUAGCAAACAGGAUUAGAUACCCGUGUAGUC
rnacentral:rRNA from 1 species